UACAGAGGGGGCAAGCGUUAUUCGGAAUUAUUGGGCGUAAAGGGCGCGUAGGCGGCCUGGCAAGUGGAUGGUGAAAUCCCUCGGCUUAACCGAGGAACUGCCGUCCAAACUGCUUGGCUUGAGUCCGGGAGAGGUGAGUGGAAUUCCCAGUGUAGCGGUGAAAUGCGUAGAUAUCGGGAGGAACAUCAGUGGCGAAGGCGGCCUUCUGGUCCAGUACUGACACUCAAGUGCGAAAGCGUGGGGAGCAAACAGG
rnacentral:rRNA from 1 species